GCCUGGGGAACGCGUUACCUUGUUGACCACUGUCCUGGCGGCCCAGACUUGAUCUGGGCUUAGAGCGGGAAAGGUGCGAGUGAGGAGAGAAAGGAAGACGGAUUGCCGCCCCAGCCCCCCGGGCCCCUGGGAGCUGAUGGGUGGCCAUGGAUCUGUAUGUCGGCAACUGCCGCAAGGCUGCCAAAGCCGCGGCCACUAAGGCAGCCGCCUGCAGCCGAACUGCAGGCACGGAGCAGUGCGACAACAGCUCGCAAAAAAACCCACUCCAGAGGUCGGAGCAGCUGAUCUAUUGGAUCUUACUCUUGUGGUUAAACUGCCUGUUAUCCCAGGAAGCAAUAAUGUGUUCUACACUACAGAUAUAAGUGAAAAGCUUUAUCAACCUUCUUAUGAUUUUAACCUGUCUGAUCCUUAUUGUCGACUUUUGGAAACCAGCUAUAAAAGCCUACACACUCCACGUUCAAAAACACACUGUAAGUGAAGAAACACCGUCCAGAGAUGAAAGAAGUGCGGCUACACCACCAGCAGUAAUAAAAAAACAAUUGAAAAACAAGGAAAUAAGUUGUUUGACACCAAGGCAGGCUAUGACAAUUGUGAGAAUGCAUAUUUCCAACAAUGGCUGUUACACAAAAAUAGACAGGCAGCUUCAGAUCAAGAGCUGUUAACCAAGCACAGAUAUUUAGACUUGAUUAGUAGGGAAUUAAGGAAGGUUGACCACAUGGCAGAAAAACAGACCAAACUCCGAAUAAAGGAAGACGGCAUUAUGACCACAUUGGAAGAAAACUUAGUCUCUGUAGACAAGCUGAAGAGGAAUGGAAGACAAAGGAAAUGUUACUUGGGGCAAAGAUUAGAGAAGAUGUAAGAAGAGAAGCAAGAGUUAAGGAACAACAUUAAAAAAUUAGAGAAAUAGCUAACCGGAAGGAAGAGUGAGCUUUUAACAUAAACUAUAGGGGCACAAGGAAAACCUGGAGGUGAUGGAAAUGUUUACUUGGAUUGUGGUGAUGGUUUCAUGAAUUUAUACAUAUGUCAAAACUGAACAAAUGAUAUAUUUAAAUAUGUAUGGCUUAUUGGACUUCAGCUAUACUUCAAUAAAGUUGUUUAAAAAUUCUAUGAUUUCCCU